rnacentral:lncRNA from 1 species
UCUUGUUCCUAAAGUUGUCUCUGUUCUCACACUUUCUUUUCCCAGCAUAUGCGCUAAAAAGGCAUUUCACCAUGUAGCCCAAGAAUCGUGCUUUCUGCUUCAAACUCUUGAGGCCUGGAAACAGGUACAGACUUAGGCAUUCAUCCACACUCUCACCAGGUGGGAAUUUUGUGCCUUUUAUCUGCUGUUCAACAUAUGCCAGAGCAUUCCUCCCAUGGCGAAAAUCUUCGCAAACCGAAUCAGCUUCCUGGAUCGAAGCUACGACGCUGUUGGUAAUACUUGCAUCACCACCAUCAAAAGCAAUUAGAUCUACAGCCUCUUUGUCUGACGCAACACCCAGCGCAAAGAACAGGACCCAGACUGGGAUCUCAGUUGACAGGAAGUACACUGUCAGUACUUUCUCCUUUCUCUUAAAGUCUUCAGCUUUCUGAUUCUCUGAUAGACGCACAAUGAAACGAUUCCUUUUGGUUUCGGACCUGUAGGAGACGGUCCAUGGUGAAUUAGAAAUCCAAAGUCUCUUUGUGCAUAUCUGUUCUUGAGCAAUAAAGACCUGCAAAACACAUUUCUUCACGUUAGUAACUUGUAUAACAGCUUGGAUAUGUUUUCCAGUAUAUAUAUACAGUAUUGGAACGAAAGAAAGCAAAAAAACGUUGUCAGCAGUUGAAACAGUUUAGGCAAAUAAUGUGAAGAACACACAAUCUAAUAGUUCAGAAUAGUAAUCCAUGACGGUAGAAAUGGAAAUAUUUGGAGUAACUCACCUUCUCAGCUCCUUUUAUCACAAAGUAUCCACCCUGGUCAAAUGCACACUCCCCCUUUCUGUAGCUUUCCCCAUUCUUUCCCUUCUCCGUUGUGUUGCAAAGAACGGAUUUCACCAUCACGGGUAUCCUACCAAUUGGGAUGUCCUGCGUCUUCUUAGACAAGAUCUGCUUUUCGACGUAUUCGUCUUGUCCCGUCUUGAACUUGUCUCUUUUAACGACUUUCUUAACGAACACCUAGUCAGUUUAUAAAGAGAAGAGUCAGUUACACAACAAAAUAACCAGUAAUAAGAAGGCAGCAAACCAAAAACUUCAUAAAAAGUUUUGACAGAUAAGAGCCAUUGCAUAGAUCACACAAUGUAAGCAGGACGUGAGGGAGAUGGAGAGAAACUAAGUUAACCCCAAGAUGUUUCCCGUAAUAUUUCAUACCAUACGUUAUUAACUCUUUAAGACUAACCACAUUAACACGUUCUAGAAGAAAAAGGUGAUAUUUUUUUAAUCAAUUCCCACAACAAGGAGCCUUUAAUCGGGUUCCUUACCUCAACAUCGACAUUAACUUUCAUCCUCGCAGAGUAAGUCAUGUUCUGAAGCCUAGCGUGCCACGGGAGAAACACAAGCUCCUUAUCAUCGGAGUACAAAGUAGGCUUAUCCACGCUGACUUCUCCGAACUUCACCGUGGCGUAUCUCCACUCAUGGUCCUUGUUCUUCGUAGGGUCAAAGGACGGCUCAACGAGCAUCUCACCGGAGGACUCAAACACGCUCUGAAGGCCGUGCUCGAUGAAGAAGUUGUAGGAGUUGAGCUGGUGGCUGACGAGGCCGUACUCGUCGAAGAAGGACGUCGCAGCUUUCUUGCAGAAGCUCUGGAGAAACGGCUCUCCUAGGUCGCGCAAAUCGACUUCCCCAGCGGCCUCAAUCUCUUCAAUGUCGAUAUCAGUCAUGUUUAAAGAAACCUACACAGAAAAAAAAAAAAAAAACCUAAACGAUUGAGAGCUCGCUAACAUCAUCAACAACACAAAUGCAUGUCUCGAUCGCCAAACUUUUCACCCAUUCUCCAGAACAUGGGACCGUGAACAGAUAAAGCAGAAUUUCGGGAAAUCCAAAGGCUUAAAUGGUAGAAUCAGAGUUUGAUAAAGAGGAUGAGUACCUAUUCGGAGUGAAACGGCGGUGGCGGGGAGAGUAGAGUGAAACGUCGUGGCCGGGAAAGUUUCUAAAAUGUCGAGUGGAGAAACCCUUGCUCUCGCUCAGUGAACGAGGACUGUGCAGAUAAAAAACCAAAAGAGUGUCCUUUUCUAAAUGACUGAUGUACCCCUACCCUUGUUCUCGUGUCUGUGUCAUUCAAAAGGGUAGUAAUGUCUAUUUUAUAGCUAUUAUUCCUUUACAUUUUUCAAUUAACCAAGAAAUGAAAAAUAAAGCUUUUCCAUAUUUUGUUGCAAAAAUGCAAAUUCAUAUUUUUCUUCACACACACAAUGCAAUCCCAUAAGGACGAACCAGCCUUAAUCUUGGUCCAACUUUUUAGAUGAAUUCUCCAGAGGCACAGUGAAGAAAAAAAAAUGAAGUUAUGAAACAUACAUCAGAGCCAAAAUCAUCCAAAAAUCAAUGAACAUAUAGAAGAAAGUCACAAUCUCAUUUUCACACGCAAAAGAACAGAAAGUAUUGUUUUUGACAAAGAUAUGCAGACAACAAGACUCGUACACACCAACAAAGCCUCACAGACACACGGCCAUACAAAAGAUCCAAAGCCUUCAAAAGAAGUAAAAGCUUUUUCAAAGAGAGACAAAGAGGAGCUUUCCAGAGAUAUUUAUAAAAUUCACACCUCAAGUCUUAUUGAGGAGUUAAGCUCCAAACCCGGAUACAAGCAUCUUCACCAGAACUCACAACAUGGGUAUCAUCAGCGAAACCCAGACCAUAAACUCCACCUAAGUGAGCUCCUUUAAUGGUCAUACGUGUGGAAGCAGGUUUGUCCACUUCAUACACAAUCACACAUGUGUCUAAGGAUCCCGUAGCAACCAUACUGCUGUUUGGAGACCAAGCUAGGCAGUUUAUGCGGGCGCUAUGGUACAACAUAUUCUUGAGUUUCAUCUGUUUAAAAAAACAUUCUUAGAGUUGGAGAUUCAUGAAUCAUGGUCAGGUUCUAAAUAAUCUUAGUUACCUCUCUGGAUGCUCUGUCCCACACAACUGCUUCUCUGUUCAAAUCAGCUGAUGCAAACAUAGAUAAAUCCGGGGAGUAACGAAUGACGCUGAUGGCGCCUCUGUGUUUCUCAAGAACUGCUUCCUCGGUGAGGGAAUCACCAUUAACAGCAUACAGACGGAGCUUACCGUCUUGACCACCGACAAUAGCUUCAGUUCCAUCAGGUGUUACAGCCAAAGCAGUGACGGUGAACCCAAGGUUGAUGGUUGACACUACUUUCUCACCACGGAGAAACACAACUCCUGACUCAAAGGCCACCAGAAGGAGACCUGGUGAGAGCGGUGCAAGGCUUAGAUCAUUUGGCUGGUUUCCAACGCCAAUAGACUCUUCGUUUGUGCACUGGCCGUCUUGAUAAGCGAUCCUGGAUAUCUGGAUAAGUAUCAAAUAGUAAAAGAACGCGAUUAGCUGCAUAGUUCAUCAGUAAAGGUGCUUAUAACAGUUAUAUGUGUGAAAACCAACUUACCGUAUUGUCAAAUCCAGAUGUGAUUAUCUCUUCUUCAUGAGCAGCAAAGCACUUUAUCUGAGAGUUUUGCUUCCGCUGCAAUUUACCGCAAAAACCACGGCCCAUCAUCCAUUUACAUAUCAGACCAUCGUAGCUACCGGAUAGUAUGUAGUCAGAACUUCCUCUGAGCACAGAUAAGGAAGAGAUGUUCUUCAUGUGUCCCGAAAACUGGAAGGGGGAUUUAUCAAGAUCGCUUGCUGAGAAUAUGCUGAUUGUACCACCAAGAGAAACAGUGACAAUAUGAUCGUUCUGCCACAGACACCCGACAAGCAUAUCGUCCACUCCACCUGAUGAUCCUGGACAAGUCAACGUGGUCUUCAAUGUUCCGUUACCAGAAUCCGAGAUUUCCCAUACUUUAGCUGACUUGUCUGCAGAUACAGUGAGGACCUGAUUGGUCAUUUAAACAUAUACAAAAGUGAGUAGGGACGCAGCAUCAACCAUACUAUAAUCAAGAAUUAAAAUAUAGAAAAUAUUUCACAGAGUCUUCAUAUAAACAGAAAAUAGCUCAUGCAUCUACAAUCAAAUAUCAUAUGCUAUUAAUCCACCCUAUUCAAGCCUAUAUAACGGAUUCAGACAAUAAGUGAGAAUAUCAGUACCUCUUUGCCAUCAGGACUCCAGCUAACAGCGUAGAUGCUACCUUUAUGCACAUCUUCGGGUGAGAGUUCUCCCAGUUUCUCACAAGUCUUUCCAUCAUAUAUGAUUCCCUUUUUGUCUGAACUUACAGUAAUGAACUUGCUUCCAUCUGGUGAAUACCUCACACAGUUGACAAAGUUGGAAUGCUCUCUAUUGAUCAACAAACAACAACAACCUCUUAAGCACACAGAUACAAAAAUGUAGUUUCUUUCUUUAAAGAAAGGAGCGUAAAGUCUAAACAUCAGACCUGCUUGAGAGCUUGAACUUGAAAGGAGGACCUUCGUAGAAAUUAACCAGAAAAUCCUCCCCGCAAGUUACAAUGCGGAAGGGUCUGGUCGGCUUGAAAGCACAGCUAAGAACACGCCUAGAGUGUCCAUCAAACUCUCCCACAUUCGAUCCUGAAUCCCACCUAACAGAGGUAAAAAAGGCAUUUCCAAUCAAACAAAACAAGACAGGUAACAAAUCAAGAAUCUAUCAUUGAUAACACUGAGUUCGAUCUGAUUCAACAAAUCCAAUGCAACAACCAGCAAAAAAACAUAAACUUAAACUGAUUGGUCGAACUCAAUGCACAGGAAACGAGUCAAGGAUCUGUCACUGAUAACACCGAGUUCGAUCUGAUUCACCAAAUCCAAUGCAACAAUCAGCAGAAAGACAUAAACUUAAACUGCUCAUUCGAAGUCAAUGCAAUAAACAAAACAAUACAAGGCAACGAAUCAAGAAUCUAUCAUUGAUACACUAAGUUCGAUCUAAUUCAACAGACUCAAUGCACCAAUCAGCACAAAAAAAAACAUAAUCUUUGACUGAUCAAUCGAAGUCAACUUACAUGAAAGCACGAACGAGAGACUUUCCUUUGCCAUCACCAGAAGCAACGAUCCGCAUCCCAUCAGCCGACCACUGGAGAUCAUCGAUCCUCCCAGCCAACACCUUAAACUCCUUCUUCAGCACAUGAUCGUCGCGAGCUCCCCAGAUUCUCACCGUCCCCGAGACGUCCCCCGACGCGAUCCACUCCCCGUUGGGGGAGUACCGCGCCACCGCAGCUGGGUACGCGUGCUCUCCGUAGAUAGAGACGUUCAAGGGGUUGUUGAGGUCGAGGAUCACGACGGAUCGGGCGUUGGUGUAGAGCAUGGUGUCGGACUUGGAGUCGCCGGAGAUCAGGAUUCCGCGACCCCUCUCCGUCGAAGGGAUGCAGGCGUAGGUUUCGGCGAGAGUCAUCGUCGAGAAGAGAGGACUUUGCGGAGAUCGGGUUUGAGUGUUUUCGGGGGUUUACGGGGAUCGCGAAGGAAAAGGUGAGAGGAGAAGGAGACCACACAGAGAGAGACGAGGAGAAAUGAAAAGGACGGUUAUUUAUUUUAAAUUGCUUCUUUUUUUUUUAAUUUAAGAUAAUAAUGUAAUGAUUAUUGUCACAUUAGCAUUGGAAGAAAAUGAAUUAAAUUGCCACUAAUACCACUUUCCUAAUACCAUUUUUCAACUUUACACUUUUCAAAUUUACCAUUAAAAUUUUAAUAGAAAAAUGACCACUAUGUCCCCUAAUUAAUUAAACAUAAACUAAUCAAUUACUAUCGAUAAAAAAAACUCAUAUAUAUCUUCUUCCUCGAUGCGAGCUCCGACGAGCUCCGGCAAAGGACGACAAUCUGGAUAUGUGAGGCGAGAAUCCGGCGAGCUCCGGUAAAGGACGACGAUCGGAUCCGUCGGUGAUGGCGAUUCUAGUCCCUGGCGUUCUCCUCAAGCACAUGAACACCGACGUCAAAAUCGCCGGAGAACACAUGUCCUCUCUCUUACAAGUCAUUAGCAUCGUCCCUGCUCUAGCAGGAGGUGAGCUUUUCCCAAACCAAGGCUUUUAUCUCAAAGUCUCUGACUCCUCACACGCCACUUCCGUCUCUCUCCCUGACGAGCACGAUGAUUUGAUUCUCAGUGAUAAGCUUCAUCAAGGUCAGUUUAUACAUGUAGACAGAGUCGAAUCCUCUUCCCCUCUGCCUAUUCUCUGUGGUAGACAAAGUCAAUCCCUAAUUCACCUACGAGCUGUUACUUUCUGCCUACUUCUUUUGCAAAGUUUGCUGAUGGGGUUAAGAAGCAACAGCACGUGAAGCCAUAGGUGUUGUCAGAGAGAGGGAGGUCUCCUUUGGGAAUGGAGAGUCCAACCAUUGGAAAAAAGCUUCCCAUGAAUAAGAGCUUAGUUCAUGGGAUUGAGUUUGGAGCUAAGGCGUUGAGGAAGCUGGGAAGAGAACAUAGUAAAGUUUAAACUUGUAGUUGUUAUACAGUUGUUGAUGAGAUCAAAGAUGUAGUUUUUAAUAAGUUAAUAGAUGAACGGGUUUAAAUUUCAGCCUCUAGUUAGUGUUUGUAAACUAUAAAGUACAUUCAUUUGGCACCUGUGCAUCUUAUUUUGAUCCAUCUUAGGGGGUGGUGACGCCUCCAAAUCUCAGGUGAUCUAUCUCAAAUUCGCUUGUUGAUGUGAUUUAAUGGUUUAAUUCGUUUUACUCCUUCAUCAUCUUCAUGUGUAGGUGGGAAUGUUUGUUGCAUUAGCCAUCUUUUUGCAUUGUAAACCUGAGGCGUUGACUAGUGUAUUACCGACUUUGAGAGAGGAUCCUAAGUAUCAAGGUCACGACAAGCUUCCCCUUACUGUUUGGAUGAUUGCUCAGGUACGUGGUGGACUAGGACCAAGAUUGUCCAAUUCUGUAUGUGUAUUUGUGAAAAGGUUAUUUGAACUGUUAAGAAUGUUUUGGACAGGCCGCCAAAGGUGAUCUAUGUCUUGGCUUGUAUUCAUGGGCACAUAAACUUUUAUGAACUUUAUAAAUGUUUUAUAAACCUUUAUAAAUUAUUUACAUACCUUUAUAAAUCUUAUAAAUUAUUUUACAAACCUUAUAAAUUUUCUUAUAAUUUAUAAGCCGUUCUAAAUGGUUAUAGACUCUUAUAAAUGAUUUAAAGACCUUCUAACUGAUUUCUUUUUUAAACAUUUUAUAAACGGUUUAUAGACUUUUUAAACUUCUUUAUAAGACUUUAUAAAUGGUUUAUAUACUCUUACAAAUAAUUUAUAAACAUUUAUAAAUGAUUUACAAAUUUUAUAAAUGAAUUACAAACUUUAUAAACUGUUUUUUAUAAACUUUACAAAAGAUUUAUAAACUCUUAUUGAUUAUUUACAUAUUCUUGUAAACCCUUAUAAAUUAUUUUACAAACUCUUAUAAAUUGUUUUAUAAACCUUUCUAAAUGGUUAUAGAUUCUUAUGAAUGAUUUAGGGACUUUAGGGCUUUUAUAGAAGCAUGAAGAAACAAAUUGUUUACAUUGUGGAGCUUAAAAAAGCUUAUGAGGAUAAGCAUUAUGUGCAUUUGGUCAUGGGGUUUUCCACAGGUGGAGAGUUGUUCAAUAGGAUAUUGCUACAUGAAGUUACUCGGAGAGAGCAGCUGUUUUUUUGUUGAGAAACAUUGUUCAGAUUGUGCUUACUUGUCAUGACAUGGGGCUAUUCACAGGGACAGGGAUUUGAAGCCUGAGAACUUUCUGUUGCUGAACGAAGAUGAGAACUCUCCUCUCAGAACCAUUGACUUUGGUCUCUCCGAUUUCUACAAGCCAGGAGAUGUGUUCAAGGAUAUAGUGGGUGAUCGAUGCUUAUUACAUAGCACUAGAGGCUUUGAAAAGGAAUUCAGAAGCUGUUAUUUGAAGUAUUGGUGUCAUAUUGUAUAUCAUCUUAUGUGGUGCCUCACCCUUCUGGACUGGUAAAAAUAUUAAUUUCGUUAUAUCUAGAGAUUAUUUUUAAUAUAAAAAUGUAUUCAUGUGUUGAUUACCUGAUAAUCAUAUGAUGAUCAUAGAAUAGGAGAAUGGAAUAUUCAACGCCAUAUUAAAGGACUUGUUAGAUUUUUUAAGUGAUCAUGUUGUAAUCAAUCCUUCAUGGUGCAAUAAUUGGUUACAUCAUAUAUCAUGUAUUUAUAUUUAAGCUUUUAUAAAUAUUUAUAACUGGUUUUCAUACUCUUAAAUUGAUCUAUGAAACUUUAUAAAAUGAUUUUUAACUCUCUAUGAUUUAUAAACUCUUAUAAAUUCGUUGUAAAAAUUGUUAUAAACUCUUACUAUUACGUAUAUAAAUAAAAGUAUUAUUUAUUUUUAACCAAUUUAUAAAGACUUAUAAAUAAUUAUAAACUCUUAUUGAUGGGUACAUUUUUAUAAGAGUUUAUGAAUGAUACAACGAAUUUGGAAGGGGCUGUGAAGGUUUUCGAGGACAUGGAAGCGCAUCGUUGCCAGCCUGACUUGUGGACUUACAAUGCUAUGAUCUCUGUUUAUGGAAGAUGCGGGCUUGCUGCGAAAGCUGAGAGUCUCUUCGCGGAGCUGGAGCUUAAAGGCUACUUCCCUGACGCGGUUACUUAUAAUUCUUUGCUCUAUGCUUUUGCUAGAGAGAGGAAUACGGAGAAGGUGAAGGAGGUUUACGAGGCGAUGCAGAAAAUGGGGUUUGGGAAAGACGAGAUGACUUACAACACGAUUAUUCACAUGUAUGGGAAGCAGGGCCAGCUUGAUCUCGCGCUGAAGCUUUAUAAGGACAUGAAAGGGUUGUCUGGUAGAAGCCCUGAUGCUAUUACUUACACGGUUUUGAUAGAUUCGCUUGGAAAAGCAAACAGAACUGUGGAAGCCGCAGCUUUGAUGUCUGAGAUGCUUGAUGUUGGGAUCAAACCAACUCUGCAGACUUACAGUGCUCUCAUCUGCGGUUAUGCCAAGGCUGGGAAGCGAGAGGAGGCUGAAGAUACUUUCAGUUGCAUGUUGCGCUCAGGGACUAGGCCUGAUAAUUUGGCGUAUUCUGUAAUGUUGGAUGUGUUACUAAGAGGCAACGAGACAAGAAAGGCGUGGGCUUUAUAUCGUGAUAUGAUUUCUGAUGGUCAUACACCGACUCACAGUCUUUAUGAGUUGAUGAUACUUGGACUUUUGAAGGAAAACAGGGCAGAGGACAUUCAGAAAACCAUCAGAGAUAUGGAAGAACUGUGUGGCAUGAACCCACUAGAGAUUUCAUCUGUUCUUGUUAAGGGCGAAUGCUUUGAUCUUGCCGCUAGACAGUUGAAAGUAGCUAUCACCAAUGGCUAUGAACUGCAAAACGACACGCUGUUAUCUAUCCUGGGUGCCUACAGUUCAUCAGGCAGGCAUUCAGAAGCAUGUGAGUUACUUGAGUUUUUGAAAGAACACGCCAGUGGAUCUUGGCUGCUUAUAAAUGAAGCACUAAUUGUUCUACACUGCAAGAUUAACAAUAUAAUUGCUGCGCUAGAAGAAUACUUCACUGGCGCAUGUGUUCAUGGAUGGAGUUUUGGCAGUUCCACCAUGUAUGAGUCCUUAUUACACUGCUGUGUAGCGAAUGAACAUUACGCAGAAGCUUCUCAAGUUUUCUCUGACCUGAGACUGUCUGGCUGCGAAGCUUCAGAAAGUGUUUGUAAAAGCAUGGUUGGUGUGUAUUGUAAGCUUGGAUUUCCAGAGACAGCUCAUCAAGUGGUUACUCAGGCUGAGACAAAAGGCUUCCACUUCGCUUGUUCGCCUACGUAUACUGAUAUCAUUGAGGCUUAUGGAAAACUAAAGCUAUGGCAAAAAGCAGAGAGUGUGGUUGGCAACUUGAGACAAAGUGGACGAACCCCUGAUCUCAAGACAUGGAACAGUUUGAUGACGGCUUAUGCUGAGUGUGGCUGUUACGAGCGGGCAAGGGCUAUAUUUAACACUAUGAUGAGGGAUGGUCCGUCUCCAAGUGUUGAAUCCAUCAACACUCUGUUGCAUGCUUUGUGUGUAGAUGGAAGGCUUGAGGAGCUAUACGUUGUUGUUGAAGAGUUGCAAGAUAUGGGUUUCAAGAUUAGCAAAAGCUCUAUUCUUUUGAUGCUUGACGCAUUUGCUCGAGCUGGAAAUAUCUUUGAGGUAAAGAAGAUAUAUAAUAGCAUGAAGGCUGCUGGUUACUUGCCAACAAUUCGCCUUUAUAGGAUGAUGAUUGAGCUUUUGUGCAAAGGGAAACGAGUCAGAGAUGCCGAAGUUAUGGUUUCUGAAAUGGAAGAAGCUGGCUUCAAGGUCGAGCUCGCGAUAUGGAAUUCCAUGCUGAAGAUGUAUACAGCUAUCGAGGAUUACAAGAAAACAGUUCGAGUGUACCAUAGGAUCAAAGAAACGGGGCUGGAACCAGAUGAGACCACUUACAAUACUCUCAUUAUAAUGUAUUGUAGAGACAGACGGCCAGAAGAAGGGUAUUUGCUUAUGCAGCAAAUGAGAAACAUUGGUCUGGAACCAAAACUGGACACAUACAAGAGCUUGAUCUCAGCUUUCGGUAAGCAAAAAUGCCUUGAACAAGCGGAACAGCUGUUUGAAGAGCUUCUUUCCAAAGGUUAUAAACUAGACCGUUCAUUUUACCACACGAUGAUGAAAAUAUCCCGAGAUUCUGGGAGCGACUCUAAGGCAGAGAGGCUGCUGCAAAUGAUGAAGAGUGCCGGAAUAGAACCAACACUUGCUACAAUGCAUCUGCUGAUGGUUUCGUAUAGUUCUUCAGGAAAGCCCCAAGAAGCUGAAAAAGUUCUUAGUAACCUGAAAGAAACAGACGUGGAACUAACAACUCUGCCUUAUAGUUCAGUCAUUGAUGCUUACCUUCGGAGCAAAGAUUAUAACAGUGGAAUAGAAAGGCUAUUGGAAAUGAAGAGAGAGGGCCUGGAGCCAGACCACAGGAUAUGGACUUGCUUUAUUAGGGCGGCGAGUUUCUCCAAGGAAAAAAGUGAAUUCAUGCUGCUUCUGAAAGCUCUUCAAGAUAUUGGUUUUGAUCUUCCUAUCAGGUAUGCAUUCCGAGUUUCCGUACAUACCAUUUUGAGUUCAAUCUUGAAGUAUAUGAUGCAUUCCUUGAAUAGUAUAUCUCCUAACUGAACCUAGAAAUAAUAAUUAUCAUCGUAUGGUACUAAUUCUCAUUUAAUGAUUCCUACCAGGCUUCUAGUUGAAAGACCUGAGUUGCUAGUUUCUGAGGUGGAUGAAUGGUUUGAGAAACUGAAACCCAUAGAGGACAAUGCUGCUCUCAAUUUUGCCAAUGCCCUUUUGAAUCUUCUCUGGGCUUUCGAACUCCGAGCUACUGCAUCAUGGGUAUUCCAGAUAGCAAUCAAAAGGGGUAUCUUCAGUCGCGACGUUUUCAGGUCUGAUCCUGUUUUGCUUAUGUCUGUCUGUUUUGGAGAGCUAGGGCCUGUAUUAGUGAACACUUGUUUAGUGCAAACGCUUAGGUGUUUAGCAGUCACAUUAAUGAUUGGUUUUGAUUUACAGGGUGGCGGACAAGGAUUGGGGUGCUGAUUUUAGAAGAUUGUCAGCAGGUGCAGCGCUUGUUGCCCUAACUCUAUGGCUUGACCACAUGCAGGCAAUUCUUCUAUCUCUAAUAUCUGCAUCUUCGCUUCAUCUUUUGACGAUCAUUCUCAUAUUCACCAAUGAACCUCUGUUACAAUUCUUCUGCAAUUUCAGGAUGCAUCACUUGAAGGGUACCCAGAAUCUCCAAAGUCAGUAGUCUUAAUCACAGGAACCGCAGAGUACAACGGUAUCUCCCUGGACAAAACGUUAAAGGCAUGUCUUUGGGAGAUGGGCUCUCCAUUUCUUCCUUGCAAGACGAGAACAGGACUUCUAGUAGCGAAAGCUCACUCUCUCAGAAUGUGGUUGAAGGACUCACCCUUCUGCUUCGACUUGGAACUGAAAGACUCAGUUUCUUUACCGGAAACAAGCUCGAUGGAGCUGAUCGACGGGUGUUUUAUAAGACGCGGCCUUGUUCCUGCAUUUAACCACAUCAAAGAGAGACUUGGUGGGUUUGUAUCACCAAAGAAGUUUUCUAGACUAGCUCUGCUACCGGAUGAGAUGAGAGAACGAGUGAUUAAGACAGAUAUAGAAGGACAUAGACAGAAGCUAGAGAAGAUGAGAAAGAAGAAUAAAGGAAAUGAAAUUGUAAACGUUAACACUCGAAGGAAGUUCAUUAGAAGUAAGUAAUGAGAUUAUACUGGGUUAUACAUACACAACACGAGUGAUAUGUACAAAGUGUUUUCAUCUGUAUGUUUUAUUUAUUUACUACAAUGAUUAGUAAUUUAAAGAGUUACAUGACGUCGAACAGUUUAUUACCGUUAAAUAUGUUGUAACCUGUAAUUUUAGUUAGAAAAUGUGUUAUUUAUGCUCUCGAUUAGUCUUUGUAACAGUCAAAGUCAAGCAAUUUCUUCGAUGUUAAAUCACGAAACAAUUGUUUUUCUAUAAUUAGACGUAUCUAUUAUACAGACAAAAUUGUUCAAGAGCAACAAAGAAACUAGUUUGGUGCAUCUUGGUUCUCGACAGGAACUACUGCAGACACUUUCCUUCUAGGCGUAAGCUUCUUGACACCAACUUUGACUUGAGAGCAGUCGGUGGUCACUGUGCUGUUGUUGGAUGUUUCUGCAACACUUUUGCGUCUUCGGCUUUGUUUCUUCUCCUUUACAUUGUCUUGAUUCUCUUUAUACCAUUCCAAAGACCUAACCUCUCCUCCAUUGUCUAGAUUCUCGAUAUUUUCACAGACAGUCUCAUUUUCUUGUCUACAUACAUCUCCUGAGAAUCUCUCUGAUCCUUUUCUCCUUCUCUUUGGCCGCCUCUCUUUAGCAGCAGAAGAUACUUCACUCUCGCAUUCUGCAUCUGCUUUCUUCGGUCUGAAUCAACAAAAAAGGCAAAUUAAGAUUCAUAAAACCAGUGUGAGAGUAUUAGUACGUCUGAUGAAUAUUCAAAUAACUUACCUUGCUUUGCGUUUCCUCUUCACGGCUACAAUUUCGGGUUCUGGCUCAAGAGGUAUCUCAGGUAGUGCAAGAAACUUGCAUUCGAGAAGAGCAGGACGUUGUGAUUCCCGAUCAACAAAGUUACCUACAAUAGCUUCUUUGCGUAACCUUGUAGCUUCUUGUAAAAGAGGGACUUGGUGUGGAUAUAGCUGCAUCCACCUCCUCCGGCAUUGAUUAUCAGUACGACGAGGCACAUGUGAAGCGAUUUUGGACCAAUUACCAAUCUCAUGUUCUGCCAUUGCUUCUCUCAACUUUGCAUCUUCUUCCUUGCUCCACUUCCCAUGAUUUACAUUGGGAUCUAAACAAUUCGCCCAUUUCUCUCGACACUGAGUAGAGGUUCGUCCAGGAACAAAGCGAGCAAUUUUAUGCCAGUUUUGAGCUCCAAAGAGUGUCACAGCUACUUUCAAACGUUUUUCUUCGUCUGAGCUAAAUUUCCCUACCCUCGUUCUGGUAGGAUGGAGCGUCUUUUUCCAUCUGAAAGUAUAGAGAAAGAAGAGCAUAAGAUCAACCAUUCACCUAAGUAUCUGAAUUAAGACAGCAAAAUGCAGGACAAUAACCUCUGAACACAAUCUCAAUCCUACUUCAUGAUUAUCAUUAAUGACUGCAUAUUGACGUAAUCCCACAUCGACUAAACAUGGACCUGAUGUGUGGUUUAUAAACCCCAUAGACUAUUUUACCAAACAAAUUAGCUCUUGUGACAAUUUGAUUUUGGACUACACUAAAUUAAUAUCAAUAGACAAAACUGCCAGCAAACUGUUGAAUCUCUAAAUUUAUCUAAAUUCAUUAAGAAAUGGGUGAACGUAAAAGAUAGUAACUGACCUAUUAGAGCACUGAGUUCCAGCCCGUCCUUCUAAUGCAUUUGUUAGAUAUGGUGAGGAACUCGGGUCUUAGGCCUGAUGCUAUUACAUACAACACUCUACUUAGCGCGUGUUCUAGAGAUUCGAAUUUGGAAGGGGCUGUGAAGGUUUUCGAGGACAUGGAAGCGCAUCGUUGCCAGCCUGACUUGUGGACUUACAAUGCUAUGAUCUCUGUUUAUGGAAGAUGCGGGCUUGCUGCGAAAGCUGAGAGUCUCUUCGCGGAGCUGGAGCUUAAAGGCUACUUCCCUGAUGCAGUUACUUAUAAUUCUUUGCUCUAUGCUUUUGCUAGAGAGAGGAAUACGGAGAAGGUGAAGGAGGUUUACGAGGCGAUGCAGAAAAUGGGGUUUGGGAAAGACGAGAUGACUUACAACACGAUUAUUCACAUGUAUGGGAAGCAGGGGCAGCUUGAUCUCGCGCUGAAGCUUUAUAAGGACAUGAAAGGUUUGUCUGGUAGAAGCCCUGAUGCUAUUACUUACACGGUUUUGAUAGACUCGCUUGGUAAAGCAAACAGAACUGUGGAAGCUGCAGCGUUGAUGUCUGAGAUGCUUGAUGUCGGGAUCAAACCAACUCUGCAGACCUACAGUGCUCUCAUCUGCGGUUAUGCCAAGGCUGGGAAGCGAGAGGAGGCUGAAGAGACUUUCAGUUGCAUGUUGCGCUCAGGGACUAAGCCUGAUAAUUUGGCGUAUUCUGUAAUGUUGGAUGUGUUACUAAGAGGCAACGAGACAAGAAAGGCGUGGGCUUUAUAUCGUGAUAUGAUUUCUGAUGGUCAUAUGCCGACUCACAGUCUGUAUGAGCUGAUGAUACUUGGACUUAUGAAGGAAAACAGGGCAGAAGACAUUCAGAAAACCAUCAGAGAUAUGGAAGAACUGUGUGGCAUGAACCCACUAGAGAUUUCCUCUGUUCUUGUUAAGGGCGAAUGCUUUGAUCUUGCUGCUAGACAGUUGAAAGUAGCUAUCACUAAUGGCUACGAACUGCAAAACGACACUCUGUUAUCUAUCCUGGGUUCCUACAGUUCAUCAGGCAGGCAUUCGGAAGCAUGUGAGUUACUUGAGUUUUUGAAAGAACACGCCAGUGGAUCUAGGCUGCUUAUAAACGAAGCACUGAUUGUUCUACAUUGCAAGGUUAACAAUAUAAUUGCUGCGCUCGAAGAAUACUUUACUGGCGCAUGUGUUCAUGGAUGGAGUUUUGGCAGUUCCACCAUGUAUGAGUCCUUAUUACACUGCUGUGUAGCGAAUGAACAUUACGCAGAAGCUUCUCAAGUUUUCUCUGACCUGAGACUGUCUGGCUGCGAAGCUUCAGAAAGUGUUUGUAAAAGCAUGGUUGGUGUGUAUUGUAAGCUUGGAUUUCCAGAGACAGCUCAUCAAGUGGUUACUCAGGCUGAGACAAAAGGCUUCCACUUCGCUUGUUCGCCUACGUAUACUGAUAUCAUUGAGGCUUAUGGAAAACUAAAGCUAUGGCAAAAAGCAGAGAGUGUGGUUGGCAACUUGAGACAAAGUGGACGAACCCCUGAUCUCAAGACAUGGAACAGUUUGAUGACGGCUUAUGCUGAGUGUGGCUGUUACGAGCGGGCAAGGGCUAUAUUUAACACUAUGAUGAGGGAUGGUCCGUCUCCAAGUGUUGAAUCCAUCAACACUCUGUUGCAUGCUUUGUGUGUAGAUGGAAGGCUUGAGGAGCUAUACGUUGUUGUUGAAGAGUUGCAAGAUAUGGGUUUCAAGAUUAGUAAAAGCUCCAUUCUUUUGAUGCUUGACGCAUUUGCUCGAGUUGGAAAUAUCUUUGAGGUAAAGAAGAUAUAUAAUAGCAUGAAGGCUGCUGGUUACUUGCCAACAAUUCGCCUUUAUAGGAUGAUGAUUGAGCUUUUGUGCAAAGGGAAACGAGUCAGAGAUGCCGAAGUUAUGGUUUCUGAAAUGGAAGAAGCUGGCUUCAAGGUCGAGCUCGCGAUAUGGAAUUCCAUGCUGAAGAUGUAUACAGCUAUCGAGGAUUACAAGAAAACAGUUCAAGUGUACCAUAGGAUCAAAGAAACGGGGCUAGAACCAGAUGAGACCACUUACAAUACUCUCAUUAUAAUGUAUUGUAGAGACAGACGGCCAGAAGAAGGGUACUUGCUUAUGCAGCAAAUGAGAAAUAUUGGUCUUGAGCCAAAACUGGACACAUACAAGAGUUUGAUCUCAGCUUUUGGUAAGCAAAAAUGCCUUGAGCAAGCUGAACAGCUGUUUGAAGAGCUUCUCUCCAAAGGUUAUAAACUAGACCGUUCAUUUUACCACACGAUGAUGAAAAUAUCCCGAGAUUCUGGGAGCGACUCUAAGGCAGAGAGGCUGCUUCAAAUGAUGAAGAGUGCGGGAAUAGAACCAACGCUUGCUACGAUGCAUCUGCUAAUGGUUUCAUAUAGUUCUUCAGGAAAGCCCCAAGAAGCGGAAAAAGUUCUUAGUAACCUGAAAGAAACAGAAGUGGAACUAACAACGCUGCCAUAUAGUUCAGUCAUUGAUGCUUACCUUCGGAGCAAAGAUUAUAACAGUGGAAUAGAAAGGCUAUUGGAAAUGAAGAGAGAAGGCCUGGAGCCAGACCACAGGAUAUGGACUUGCUUUGUUAGGGCGGCGAGUUUCUCCAAGGACAAAAAUGAAGUCAUGUUGCUGCUGAAAGCUCUUCAAGAUAUUGGUUUUGAUCUUCCUAUCAGGUAUGAAUUCCAAGUUUCCGUACAUAUCUUGAAUGAUAUGAUGCAUUCCUUGAAUAGUAUAUCUCUUAACUGAACCUAGGAAUAAUAAAUAUCAUCGUAUGUUACUGAUUCUCAUGUUUUUUAUGAUUCAUACCAGGCUUGUAGUCGGAAGACCUGAGUUGCUAGUUUCUGAGGUGGAUGAAUGGUUCGAGAAACUGAAACCCAUAGAGGACAAUGCUGCUCUCAAUUUUGCCAAUGCUCUUUUGAAUCUUCUCUGGGCUUUCGAGCUCAGAGCUACUGCAUCAUGGGUAUUUCAACUGGCAAUCAAAAGGGGUAUCUUCAGUCGCGACGUUUUCAGGUCAGAUCCUGUUUUGCAUAUAUGUUGUCUGUUUGGGAUAGUUCGUGCCUGUACUAGUCAACACUUGUUUAGUGCAAACGCUUAGGUGUUUAGCAGUCACAUUAAUGAUUGGUUUUGACUUUCAGGGUGGCGGACAAGGACUGGGGUGCUGAUUUUAGAAGAUUGUCAGCAGGUGCAGCGCUUGUUGCACUAACUCUAUGGCUUGACCACAUGCAGGCAAUUUUUCUAUCUCUAAUAUCUGCAUCGUCGCUUCAUCUCACAUAUUAAUCUUUUGACAAUCAUUCUCAUAUUCACAAACGAACCUCUGCUUUCUUCUGCCAUUUCAGGAUGCAUCACUUGAAGGGUACCCAGAAUCUCCAAAGUCAGUAGUCUUAAUCACAGGGACCGCAGAGUACAACGGCAUCUCCCUGGACAAAACGCUAAAGGCAUGUCUUUGGGAGAUGGGCUCUCCAUUUCUUCCCUGCAAAACGAGAACAGGACUUCUAGUGGCGAAAGCUCACUCUCUCAGAAUGUGGUUAAAGGACUCACCAUUCUGCUUCGACUUGGAACUGAAAGACUCAGUGUCUUUACCGGAAACAAGCUCGAUGGAGCUGAUCGACGGGUGUUUUAUAAGACGCGGCCUUGUUCCUGCAUUUAACCACAUCAAAGAGAGACUUGGUGGGUUUGUAUCACCAAAGAAGUUUUCUAGACUAGCUCUGCUACCGGAUGAGAUGAGAGAACGAGUGAUUAAGACAGAUAUAGAAGGACAUAGACAGAAGCUAGAGAAGAUGAGGAAGAAGAAUAAAGGAAAUGAAAUGGUAAACGUUAACACUCGAAGGAAGUUCUUCAUUAGAAGUAAGUAAUGAGAUUGUACUCGGGUUAUACAUACACAACACGAGUGAUAUGUACAAAGUGUUUUCAUCUGUAUGUUUUUUUUAUUUACAAUGAUUAGUAAUUUAAAGAGUUACAUGACGUCGAACAGUUUAUUACCGUUAAAUAUGUUGUAACCUGUAAUUUUAGUUAGAAAAUGUGUUAUUUAUGCUCUCGAUUAGUCUUUGUAACAGUCAAAGUCAAGCAAUUUCUUCGAUGUUAAAUCACGAAACAAUUGUUUUUCUAUAAUUAGACGUAUCUAUUAUACAGACAAAAUUGUUCAAGAGCAACAAAGAAACUAGUUUGGUGCAUCUUGGUUCUCGACAGGAACUACUGCAGACACUUUCCUUCUAGGCGUAAGCUUCUUGACACCAACUUUGACUUGAGAGCAGUCGGUGGUCACUGUGCUGUUGUUGGAUGUUUCUGCAACACUUUUGCGUCUUCGUCUUUGUUUCUUCUCCUUUACAUUGUCUUGAUUCUCUUUAUACCAUUCCAAAGACCUAACCUCUCCUCCAUUGUCUAGAUUCUCGAUAUUUUCACAGACAGUCUCAUUUUCUUGUCUACAUACAUCUCCUGAGAAUCUCUCUGAUCCUUUUCUCCUUCUCUUUGGCCGCCUCUCUUUAGCAGCAGAAGAUACUUCACUCUCGCAUUCUGCAUCUGCUUUCUUCGGUCUGAAUCAACAAAAAAGGCAAAUUAAGAUUCAUAAAACCAGUGUGAGAGUAUUAGUACGUCUGAUGAAUAUUCAAAUAACUUACCUUGCUUUGCGUUUCCUCUUCACGGCUACAAUUUCGGGUUCUGGCUCAAGAGGUAUCUCAGGUAGUGCAAGAAACUUGCAUUCGAGAAGAGCAGGACGUUGUGAUUCCCGAUCAACAAAGUUACCUACAAUAGCUUCUUUGCGUAACCUUGUAGCUUCUUGUAAAAGAGGGACUUGGUGAGGAUAUAAUUGCAUCCAUCUCCUCCGGCAUUGAUUAUCAGUACGACGAGGCACAUGUGAAGCGAUUUUGGACCAAUUACCAAUCUCAUGUUCUGCCAUUGCUUCUCUCAACUUUGCAUCUUCUUCCUUGCUCCACUUCCCAUGAUUUACAUUGGGAUCUAAACAAUUCGCCCAUUUCUCUCGACACUGAGUAGAGGUUCGUCCAGGAACAAAGCGAGCAAUUUUAUGCCAGUUUUGAGCUCCAAAGAGUGUCACAGCUACUUUCAAACGUUUUUCUUCGUCUGAGCUAAAUUUCCCUACCCUCGUUCUGGUAGGAUGGAGCGUCUUUUUCCAUCUGAAAGUAUAGAGAAAGAAGAGCAUAAGAUCAACCAUUCACCUAAGUAUCUGAAUUAAGACAGCAAAAUGCAGGACAAUAACCUCUGAACACAAUCUCAAUCCUACUUCAUGAUUAUCAUUAAUGACUGCAUAUUGACGUAAUCCCACAUCGACUAAACAUGGACCUGAUGUGUGGUUUAUAAACCCCAUAGACUAUUUUACCAAACAAAUUAGCUCUUGUGACAAUUUGAUUUUGGACUACACUAAAUUAAUAUCAAUAGACAAAACUGCCAGCAAACUGUUGAAUCUCUAAAUUUAUCUAAAUUCAUUAAGAAAUGGGUGAACGUAAAAGAUAGUAACUGACCUAUUAGAGCACUGAGUUCCAGCCCGUCCUUCUAAUGCAUUUGCGACAGUCUGCCAGUCUUUUUCACCAUACAACUCCACUGCUGCGCGGAGUUGGUCAUCUUCCUCUGCAGUCCAUUCUUUUCUUAAUAUGUCUGCAUUCAAGCUUCUCUGAUAUCGAGCCAAACAUUGAAAGGGGGUCCUAUUUGUCCCUAGUGACACCGCAAUGUCAAGCCAGUCUGUAAAACCCUUUUCUUGGAUAAUUACCCGCAGGUUAUUUUCCUCCUCCGCAGUCCACGGAUCGUGGUUGAUUAAUGGAUCUUCCGAGCUCAUCCACCUACAACAUAAAAUUAAGAAAAUUCAUCAAAUUCUCAAAUGAAGAGAAUGCAAGCAUAUACAAUGUGCAUAUGGCUGAAAGCUGAUUUAUCUUACUAGAGGAUGAACUUACCGAGCUUCACAUUCUGCAGCAGAACGGUCCUUGACGUACAUUGAGGCCAACUGAUCCCAAUUCACUUUCGGAAGAAACUGCCGCAUCAUCUCUGGUGUGAUCUCAAGAUUUUUGAUCGAUUCAUUAAUGGUCUCUAUAUCAUCUGAAGAUCCUUCCAAGUCGCUGUUAAAAAAUUACUGUCAGUCAAUUCUUAAUGAAAACUUAAAACUAUUUAUGUAUCUGCGUAUCAUCAAUAGCAAGUUUAACAGUACUAGGCACCAGAAUAUGUUAGCACUUCAAAAGGGAAAGAACGAGCAGUACCUGUAACGUUCUAUAGCUUCAUUAAGCAGUGUUUCCUGAAGUUGUUGUUUUAGACCUUUUGCAAGAUUUUCGUUCUCCUCAGUAGACCAACUUCUGCGAUUCACUGAAACUGGAUAGUUCUUUAUUGCCAUCCUAUAGUUUUCAACACAACUGUUUUCCGAUGGACCAAACGUCAAAGGAGAUAUCUUUUUAUCAUUAUCCUACAAGAAAACAAACAGAAUUUAAGAAAAGGAACGUUGUCCACCAGGUCAAAGCGUAAGCAAUACUUUUCUAAGGACUAUUGAACUGCAGAGGCAGGAAUGAUCAAAAUGCGCUUACCUCUGAGCUAUCACGAGGCCCACACUUUGGUGUUGAGAUUAACUGGAGACGAGGAUCUUUCCCCUGAGAAAGCGCCUGUUUAGUUAUCCUCUUGCAAGAAGCUUGAAAGUCAACAACUAUCUUAACAUUCUUCUGGUGCUUCUCGUUCUGCUCGAUCUUCGCUUCAAUUUCAGUCAGCUUCUUUCUAAGAAACUUCUGAUACGCCCUGUUCCUCCGGAUAGCCUCAACAAAGGCUUGUGCAGCUUCAGGGAAACUUGAUGACUGGCAUGUCGGGUCAAGAGGCGCAAUGGCAGAGUUUUCAUGUAAAUCAACAGAUCCACCAGCUUGUUUCCCCUGAUCUAGAAAGCUUUCACAAGUAUUAGACCUACUCAAUAUUUCUCUGGAAGGUUCAUUGUCCGAGGCAUGUACCUGCUUUUUCUUCCCGAGAGAAUCAUUCAUAAACGCUCCAUCUUGAUCUACACAAACAAACAAAAACAGAAGGAAGUUACCACUAAAGCAUCAAGCAUAUUAAUCUUAAAAACUAUCUUAAUCCAUUUGAAACAGUAUCUAUCGAAUCAGAUAGCUAAAAAACAAGAAUUAGAUAUCACAUUGAGCUCACCGAGAUUGGCAUAAGCAGAGAAUCGUCUACGAAUAGCACGAAGCGUUUCAAAAGAAUCAUCAUCUUCGUCGUCGUCAUCGGAGAGACUCAUGGGAGGAAGGGACGCAUUCAUGGACAAUGCCAGCUGGCUCUUGAGGCUACGAAGCAACUCGAAGUCGUCGUCACUCUCCGAAUCUGAAGGCAGUGGUAAACCCGUGGGAGGACCCGUCGUCGACGGAGCUAAUUGGCUCUUGAGGCUCCGAAGCAUCUCGAAGUCGUCUUCGUUCUCCGAAUCCGACGGUAUCUCUCCCCCGCCGCCGCCUCCAUCCGGUUCAACAGAAGCAGAUUUCGGAAUAACGUCAUCAGAAUUGGACUCGGGGAUAAUACAGGCGCGUCUUAAGUCUUCGAGAUCUUCACCGAUGCCGUCGUCGUCUUCUUCUUCGUCGUCAUCGUCAUCAGACUCGAACAAGGCUCCGCGAUUCAUGGCGUUACAGCGAGGAGAGAAAACGUGUAUGGGAGAAACGAAACGGCUGCAAGAGAAAGGUUUAUGGCACCUUUGCUUGCGCCUCCUCCGGGAAGAACCAGAUGAAGCCUUUUAAGGCGGCACAGCAUCAGACGGAUCCAAUCGGGUCGGUUCGGGUCGCAAACCUUUUGUUAAUGGGCUUAGGCCCAUAUAUUUGAAAUUUGAAAACAAAGCGAGAUGUAUUCAACUUUGUUCAUUUGUUUUGAUUUUUUAAGAAUUUUUUAUUAUUAUUUUAGCUUUUAGGUGAGUUAAGAAAAUAAAAAAUGAUUUUGUUAGAGCAGCAUAUAAUCUUAUUUGAAAUUGAGAUUUGAAUUUUGAUAUCUUUAACUAAUAAACUUCACUAAAAUAUCUUUAAAUUACCAUAUAUUUUCUCAAUUUUACUAUUUAAACUAUUUUUAUUAACAAUAAAAUUACAAUUUUAGUAACAUUGAAUUUAAUUUCAUAAAAUAUAUAAUUUGUUAUAUUUUAAACGCAAAUCCGCACUUGGAUACACACUCAAAAUACACAUAAACUUGGAUUAUAAACCGGUUAAAGUGUUGCCCAAAAACAAAAAACGGUUAAAGUUGUCAAAAAGAAAAACCGGUUAAGUCGAUUAACAUUAGCGACAAAGAGAGUCGAAGCUCACAAAAUAAACCGGGUUUUGUGGUUUCUUAGGGUUCACGUGACCCGAACCGAAACAGAGUCAAACUACACAAUACCAUGGUCUAAGGCUCUAAGCCAUACAUAUAUGUUUGUUAUUAUUAGCCGAUAGAUAUAAACAUAAGACUGGGACCAUUCAGCAGAGGUUGGUUUCGAAGUUGAGACAGAUGCCCAUACUGAACAGCUCCUGAUACAGAAGCUUAGCUCCAUAUGGCACGUUCACCAUCACCACAUAGUCCGGAGACUCGCACAGCCUGCAAUACGGUCCUCUGAUCCUUCUUCCACUGCUGGCCACCCUCUCGAUCACGUUUGCUGCGCUUUUACAGUUCCUGCAGAUGUGCAUCUGUGAAGAGUCACUCAGAGUGAACAGACGCUCGUGCAAGUUCGCUGAUGCACCGUGAGCAAUCAGGCAGUCUCGCUCCAUCUCUCCGAACUUGAUUCCACCGAACCUCUUCCUGUCUGCAACUGGCUGGCGCGUGAGUGGGUGAACUGGUCCGGUGUUCCUGAACUUGACUUUGUCCUCCGACAUGUGGAUGAGUCGCUGGUAGAAAUUUGGGCCCAUGAAGAUGAGUGAACGCAUCAUCUCUCCUGUUCUUCCAUUGUAGACCCUUUCGUUUCCCGAUCUUGAAAAGCCAGCCCUGAGACCACAGACAAACAUUUACAAUCCGUAAUGGAUCAGAUGUCAAGAAUCAACAAUAAUCUACGAAACACAUUCAAUUAAUCACAAAAUCACAAGACAAAUGACGCUCAGUUUAUCUACUGACUUUAGCACAAAGCCCUACUGUUUCAAUGAAACAUAUUCAAAGAAUCACAUAAUCACAAGGCAAAUGACGCUCAGUUUAUCUACUACUGACUUUAGCACAAAGCCAUGUACUGUUUCAAUGAAACACAUUCAAUGAAUCACAUAAUCACAAGGUAAAUGACGCUCAGUUUAUCUACUGCCUUUAGCACAAAGCCCCGUACUGUUUCAGUGAAACAUAUUCAAAGAAUCACAUAAUCACAAGGCAAAUGACGCUCAGUUUAUCUACUACUGACUUUAGAACAAAGCCAUGUACUGUUUCAAUGAAACACAUUCAAUGAAUCAGAAUCACAUAAUCACAAGGUAAAUGACGCUCAGUUUAUCUACUGACUUUAGCACAAAGCCCUGUACAGUUUCAAUGAAACAUAUUCAAUAAAAUCACAUAAUCACAAGGCAAAUGACGCUCAGAUUAUCUACCGACUUUAGCACACAUCCCUGUACUGUUUCAGUCCUUUUCAACACUAUGUAGACAAUGAUCAAACCAAGUGACAGUGUGAAGAAGGGUACCUGUGAAGCUGGUCGGUUAUGUCAUCAACACUGGGAGUGGAGAAAGGAGUGGCAUGGCGUGUCACUUUGGAGUAUGCAUCAGACUUGCCCUUCUUCUUUUGCAUAGGACAAGCUAUUCCUUUGGACAGAGCAGCCUCCAAGAGUUGGCCCGGUGUUUGCCGAGAAGGGAAUGCAUGCGGAUUGAUCACGAUAUCAGGAACUAUGCCUUGAUUCGUGAAAGCAAAAUUCUCCUGCUCCUCUAUAUAGCCUAAAACACCCUUCUGGCCAUGCAUACUGGAGAAUUUAUCUCCAAGACAUGGAGAACGAACCUGCAAGAUGUUAAAGACAGAUCAAUGGAAACACUAUAAUAGCUCAAAGGUAUGCGUUAUCUGAAACACAGCUCACUAAGGUAUGAUCUGGAACUUACCUGUCUCAGAGAAACAGUAGCAUAAUUCUUCCCAUCGUCAUUGGAUGAUAGAACCACCUUCUGCACUAUCCCUCUCUCAGUGUGCUUCAGUUUCACGCUGUGAUCAGUCCCAGACUCGGUGCAUCUGCCAAUGACAAUAUCACCACUGUGCAUAUUAGCACCAACAAAGGGGAACCCGUCAUCAUCUAGGCUGUCUACUCUGCCAAUCUUGCUGUGUGUCUUUCCAAACUGAACAACCUCGUCCAUCUUUUUCCUCUUCUCCGAGUCUUUACUGUCAACAUCAGCUUUAUAGCUCCUGAUCUGUUCUGAACGGAACAUACCACGUUCCAGCGAAGCCUUGUUCAUCACAAUGGAGUCCUCCUGGUUGAACCCGAGAUGAACAUUCACAGCAACAAUUGCGUUCUGACCAUUGAACAACACAUCCUUCUGAAGACACUCUGACGCCAUUGUCUUGAAAAGUGGCUUCUGGGGAUAGAACAGCUGCUGGGACAGGGUAUCACAGCGGAUGUUAGGGUUCGUUGAGGAGAACCCAAUGGCUUGCUGGCAAUGCUUCUGGGACUGGUAGAGAACUCUCCUACCAUGAUCAUGAUUCGCAAACGGCACAAUCGCACAGCUCACACCCAACAGGAAGGACAAAUCCAGUUCGCAGUGAGUGUAACUCUUCUGCUGUUUCAGAAGCUGCUUGGUUCCCCAUGCGGUGGUACAGUCUUCUUCUUCCUCAAUCCCGAUCAGCUCGAGAAUCCCUUGGUCAAGAAGAUGCUCAAAGGUGUACUUCGAUGGUUUACUUUGCUUCAACUUGUGGAGAUUUUCCACAACCAUGAGGGGACGGAGAAGUCUGCCAGCGUCAGUAAAAAUCCGUACCUCCUUGUCAUCUUUAUCUAGCUUAAUUUCCAUCUGCAAAGAAUGACAUAAAAACAUUUGAGAACUGUAAUAAGAUCCAAGGUAAAUACAAUACAAGAAAUUUGUUAAAACAGGAGAUACCUGACGAGGUAAUUCACUUUGACGCCUCCUGCUUUUUAACUCCGCAACAAAGUAGUCAGAAUCUGAACAUACUCCAACCCAGUCUCCAUUGAGGAGAACCUUGUGCUUCCCGCUCAGUGGUGUACUGGUAUCGUCCACCAGCUCGUCCAUUCCACUAUCGAAGAGUUUUUCCACCACAGGCUCCAUAAUUUGAGUGCUGACAAGUCCAAGGAGAGACAGGUUCUUCACAAGACCACAAUUUUCGCCAUCUGGGGUUGACAAAAAGCAUACUCUGCCCCAGUGAGAGGGAUGCCUGUUGCAUACAUUAUAAACAAAUGCAGUCACAUUUCAGUUUUUAAAGCCAAAAAAAAACGCAAAGUUAAGUUCCCAACAACGUUCCAACAUUUCACAGCUCACAUUUCAAUGUAACUAUAAUGGAUAACCUCAUUGUCGACAUCAGGAAAAAUUCACAAGAUAGAGUGACUCACGGAAAAAGAAACACGAAAAACAGUAUCGGAAUUGCUUAAUGGCAGUAAAAUCUAAACAAAAUCAGUAUAAAUUUCGGUCAAGCACAGAAGGAUCUGCAGGAAACAGUGGUCAUCAUCACAACUAUAUGAAAGAGUCUAAUACCACUAAAACAGACUGAAGAACAUGUAAGACCGUGCAUAUACUUAUAUUUCAAACAAAGCAGGGGGUUUUGGAAAUUCCACUUACGGAUAUCUAGCAUCUCCAACUUUGCCGGUAUACAGGACCUGUUGCCGCGUUCUCCGCAGAUCAAUCAAACUCUGGAGUGGAUUUGCACGACCCAGAUUAGCGACAACACCUGAAACCCUUUCCAUCUUCCUGAAAGGAUGACACCAUGCUCCAGUGGAGAAGGCUCUACUAAGUCCAUUUGUUAUAAUGGAAGCAUCCAAGUAGUGCUCGAUAGGCUUCAGAUCGCCAUCGCCCGUGAGGUGUCUCUGCAUGGCUUUGGUCAUUGUUCUUCUAGCAUGCGCCAAAUGCACCCUUAGUUCCCUUUCCAGCAGCUCUCCAGCUAGUUCGAUCCUCUUGUUCCUAAAGUUGUCUCUGUUCUCACACUUUCUUUUCCCAGCAUAUGCGCUAAAAAGGCAUUUCACCAUGUAGCCCAGGAAUCGUGCUUUCUGCUUCAAACUCUUGAGGCCUGGAAACAGGUACAGACUUAGGCAUUCAUCCACACUCUCACCAGGUGGGAAUUUUGUGCCUUUUAUCUGCUGUUCAACAUAUGCCAGAGCAUUCCUCCCAUGGCGAAAAUCUUCGCAAACCGAAUCAGC